ACGCUGCGAGUGCGCCACCAGUCCGCCAUCUUUCUUACCUUUUUGAUGGUUGUUGACUUGUAAAUUUUGUAAUUAGUUUUUGCCGACGUCCGUUUUUUAAGUAAUUUUUGGUAUUUUACAAAUUGUGUUACUUUAGUGGACACGUGGAGACAUGGACGCUGACUGUUGGAAGAAUUCGUCAAUUCAGACUGGCGCAAAGAGCUAUCAGGGCGCGAUGCCAGGAAUUUCAUUGCGAGACAGAAUUCGAAAUGAGGAUAUUCGCCAACGCAAUAAAGUUACCGACAUUGCAAAAAGGAUUAACUCAAGUGGGAAUGGACCGGCUAUAUUUUUCGUAGAGAUGACGAUCAAUGGGGUCGCCUAGUAUUGCUGUGGAGACCUAGCCUGGGUGGCCGAGGUGGCGGGAAACCACGAGCAGAUGGUCGGAUGACACAUAUAGAACGGAGUGGAAACCCACGGAAUGCAGACCAGGAUCAUAUACUUUAGGUAUGAGUUUGUUACUUUUGCUCAUAAUAACAUGGAGUAUGUCACGGCUGCUCCACGGGCUGCAUUGAAGGGCAACAGGAGCGAAAAUGUUAAAAUGGAAAGGAGCUCCCCCUUUCAAUUAGGGAAUCUUAGGAUAUGCUAAGGCAAACAGAAGGAGGCAAGGAACGGGACUGCAUCAAUUGCUGUCUGGAACCAAUCUUGUGGGAUGACUUCUGGACCUGGAAAAACAAUUUCAUCAUCUACCCUAAUACUGACGAAUGUUCUAAAACGUGCUGUAAGGCAGACAUUUCCAAAUGUAACGGAGGAAAGUUUCGAGACAUGUAAUGGUUUCAACAUGCUGCUGAGACCCAACUCAAGAGACGUCAGUUUGUACUGUUUAGUCCAUUCUCUAUUGGGCAUGCUUGUAUAGAGAGGUAUAUAUAUAUAUAUUGGAGUACAGACAUGGUGUUUGGUAUGAGUAUUAUAUACAUCCUUUUGAGUCAAAUAGGACCGGUAGCCACUUUGAACUCCGUGUCCGAAAGGGUCAAAGUAUGGAGCUCCCGGUACUCAGAAAAAAAUUCUGGCCUAUUAGUUUUGAACUUUCGAGUCAAGUUUGGUGUCAUUUUUAAACUGUUCGCUUCGUUUUUAAAUUGAAGAAGAUUAAAAAUCACAGUAAUAUUAUAAAGGCAAAAGUUUGUGAGCAUACCGUGUUUGUUACUUCCUCACGCCACGCCCAAGUGCCUUAACAAAUAUUAUUUAUAAAAUUAAGUAUGGAGGAAGUACGAUAUACCCUAAGUUAACACGUCGCUUCUUCUUGAUCGUGGGUAACACUCGGGGCGCAGUAUAAUGAUUAUUAAAAAUCUUUAUGCUGUCCCCUAUGGUGCGAUGGCGAUCGUUGCAGUACUUUCAAUAUUUUUUUUACAUCAAAUAUUAGAAUCAUCAAAGAUUACUAAUAAAAUAGGCUUUUUAGAAAUAUUUUUUAAAAAUCAUGAUUAGUAUAAAAAUACGGAAAUAUGAGGAUUUGUUUGCAUUUCGUGGCUACUAAAAAUUCAUUAUUAAUAAAUAUUGUGCUAUAUUUUGCUAUGGAACCCUAAAAAAGUAGUUACAUAAAAAUGACACUAAAAUUGACUCAAAGCUCAAACUAAUCGGCCAGAAUUUUUUUCUGAGCAGCAGGAGCUCCAUACUUUGACCCCCUCUCCCCCCUUCGGACACGGAGUUCAAAGUGGCUACCGGUCUUGUUUGACUCGGGAGGACGUGUAUAAUACCCAUGUAGAUGUAGAUGUAGUGUAGGGACGCCUGGCCGGAUACAGGCGGGCUGUCGAUCGCUGGUGCGUUCAUUCAGCCCAAUUCCCUGGAGUUGGAGCUGCAGGUUACUGUCCCGGCUGCCCUCCCACACUUCUCUCCUCAAAUUUUCUUGUUUUCCUGCAGAACAUAAUACCCAUACUAAACGCCAAUGCUCUACUCAAAAAUUCACUUUUUCCCAAUAGAGAACGGACUGUGUUAGACAGUGCAUGUUGUUACACGGUAAAUUUUUCUAGAAGACCAAAUUUAUAAGUUCCUUAGUUAUUCUAUUUUUAACUAAAUAAGUUCUUGUACUAUAAGCAGUAAUCGGAAUAGGCAGAGUAGAUAUAUUUAUUUUUAAACGAAAUGACUUCCUUGCGAUAGUAUUUUUUCAGUACAGAUGGUAUUUUUUUUACGCACUAGUGCGAGAAGUGGUUCAUUAUACGCCAGGUCGAAACUUCGGA